rnacentral:rRNA from 1 species
CAUCGCCUCUUGCCUCAAUAAGAGGUCCCGCCUGCCCAGUGACCCAAUUCAACGGCCGCGGUAUCCUGACCGUGCGAAGGUAGCGUAAUCACUUGUUCUUUAAAUAAGGACUAGUAUGAACGGCACCACGAAGGCUGUACUGUCUCCCGCCUUUAAUCAGUGAACUUAAUCUCCCCGUGAAGAAGCGGGGAUAUAAUCAUAAGACGAGAAGACCCCAUGGAGCUUAAAACAAACGGCACCUGCUAACAACUAAGUUAAGCACCUUGACCGUACGUUUUCGGUUGGGGCGACCGCGGAGAACAACCCACCCUCCAUGCUGAAAGAUAACAAUCUUAGCCAAAACAACCCAUUAAAGCACCAGAAUCCUGACAUUCAUUGACCCAAGCUAUUUGAUCAACGAACCAAGUUACCCUGGGGAUAACAGCGCAAUCCACUUCAAGAGCCCCUAUCGACAAGUGGGUUUACGACCUCGAUGUUGGAUCAGGGUCCCCAA